CCUACGGGUGGCUGCAGUGAGGAAUAUUGGUCAAUGGGCGGAAGCCUGAACCAGCCAAGUAGCGUGCAGGAUGACGGCCCUACGGGUUGUAAACUGCUUUUAUACGGGAAUCACGCGCCUUACGUGUAGGGCUUUGCAUGUACCGUAUGAUUAAGGCCCGGAUAAUUCCGUGCCAGCAGCCGCGGUAAUCAGGAAGGUCCGGGCGUAAUCCGGAUUUAGUGGGUUAAAAGGGAGGGUAGGUCGCAUGUCAAGCGUGCUGUAAAAUGUCCGGGCACAAACCUGGCAUUAUAGCGCAAACUGGCGAGCUUGAGUCCGCUGAAAGCAAGAGGAAUUCGUAGUGUAGCGGUGAAAUGCUUAGAUAUGACAAAGAACCCCGAUUGCGAAGGCAGCUUGCUGCAGCGGAACUGACGCUGAGGCACGAAAGCGCAGGUAUCGAACGGGAUUAGAUACCCUGGUAGUC
rnacentral:rRNA from 1 species